CAGACCAACACCAUCACCUCCAACACACCACGAUUACUACCUUCAACUCAAAUACACGACCAUAAAUACUAACUUCACUAACCUGUGGUAUCUAUGAUUAACAGUGAUUAAAUUUGUCUUCAGCAUGACUAUUCGUGAUCAUGUCAGUCUAAUUUGUAACUGUAUGUGGCAAAGUCACAUACAAUUACAAUUAACAUAAAUCUGGUCAUAAAAACUCACAAUGAAGAUAGACUUGAUCACACCCGAUUGCCGUCGUAACAGCCAUUCCCACAAACAUCGAGAACCAAACACGUACCACCUUACCACAACCAUAUGCACCACCACCAAUAGAUUCACAAACAACAACAUAACCAUCCCAUAGAUCAGGAAAUCAUUGACACCAUUUGCAAAACAUUAACAACCAUCCCAAAACCUUGACAAAACAACAGAUUUGAUGAAACGACUACCCACAAAAUCAAUUUCAAAUAUUUUUCUUUCAUUGUUACACGAAUUUCUCAACCUAAACCCUAAAAUUCUCAGCUCUAAGUUCAAUAUGGCAGGUAGAGAUGAAGACGACAACUGACCAAGAACUACUUACCCUUUAGUAUCAUCGACAAGAAAUCGCUUAACAAAAAUGCAAAGUUGAACAUUUAUUACAAGCAAUAGUGGCUCAUUGCAAGUAGAGCUAGGCGCUGUAUAUAGUGGUUCGUCGUCACGCGCGACGGUUCUUCUUCGCCACGCACAGAGGCAUCCAAAAAUGGGAUGUUAGAGAGUGGGUAGGUAUAGCAACAGCAAGUGAA
rnacentral:lncRNA from 1 species